AAACACGAGGCCAAAUCUCGCGAGAAAGAUUUCCGCUGUUUGAAAAUCAACACCAGCGAGCAGCCAGAAGGAAAGCAAUCUUCCACACUCGUUUGGUCUUGUGUCAAAGCUGUGCGAAAUUGGAGGGAGAAACUUGCCUGAAGAAUGCUGGACAGAGUUCACUAAAAUUCACUAAUGUCAAAGUUCAACAUGAAUGGUGGUGGUCCACUGCAGAAGCAAGCAUUUAAUAAAACACCAGUUCUCAGUUAUUAAAGAUGCUGUGUUGAACAACUUUCCAGCAGCAAGAGAACUGGAAGUGAAGGAUGCAAUGGGGGGCAUUUCAAACAGGCACCAGGGAGGACGUGGUGUAUAGAAAUUAGUACAAUUAAUAAGUUGAAGUGAACUGAAGAUAGUUUUUUAAUGUUUAGAUGUUAUUUCAUUUUUAAAAUUGUAUUUUGUUAUUUAUGCUUUUAUUUUGUUACUGUUUUUAUUCUUUUUGUUAAGUAGUUUUUCUUCAUUUUGUCUUAUCUGAAUUUCUAUUGUAUUAACAAUAUAUAUUUUUAAUAAAUUUGCAUAAUUGCAUGUUUAUGAGAACCUGUUUUAUUGGAUUAAAAAGAGUUCUUUAGCCA